UUUCUUUUUCCCAUUUCUCCACCUUUUUUUCCAGCCGUACACGUAAUCUUUCAAACGAUUCUGGCAAAGUUCUUCAAAUUUUUCUUUGACUUCGGUUGUUACACCAUAAUCCCAAUAAAAAUUUUGCUACAAUUUUUUCAAAGAGAUUUUAUAAAUCUUAAUGUUUUUUAAUUAUCAAUCUAAUGUAAAACAUAAUAAAUAUAAAAGUAUAUUGAAAUUGUAUCACUAGCCACAAAGGCUUUGAACCAUCGAUCCUUUGUAUAUCCUGACAAUGUUGACCAAUUCGGAGCAGGUUCUGAUCGGAGAGACGGAGAAAGGCAGUGGGAAAAGCAAGCGGCGGAUCUGAAAGAACCCCUCAGGUUGCUUUGUUUCUUCAUCCACAUAUAAAAUUUACAGAAUUGAAAUUGUUGAGUUUGAUCUAAUAUUUUCCUGCAAGCGGCGGAUCUAAUAUUUUCCUGCAA